rnacentral:rRNA from 1 species
UACGUAGGGGGCGAGCGUUGUCCGGAUUUAUUGGGCGUAAAGAGCGUGUAGGCGGCCAGGUAGGUCUGCUGUGAAAACUCGAGGCUCAACCUCGAGACGGCGGCGGAAACCAUCUGGCUAGAGUCCGGAAGGGGAGAGUGGAAUUCCUGGUGUAGCGGUGAAAUGCGCAGAUAUCAGGAAGAACACCCGUGGCGAAGGCGGCUCUCUGGGACGGUACUGACGCUGAGACGCGAAAGCGUGGGGAGCGAACAGG